UUCUCCUUCCUCCUCUUCUCCCUCUCCUUUCUCUCCUUCUUCCUCUCUCUUCCCGUGCGCCUCCUUCCCAUUUUCCCCGACCAGCAGCCGCCCUCCCAAGCAGCAGCAGGGGGCUGCGUCACCUUCCCCAAACAGCAACGACCAACAUCUAGUCUGCCUCUGCUCGCGUCUGCUGCAGCCACGACCCCAGCCUGCUCUUCUCCCUUUUCUGCUGUGGAGGCUGCUCUUCUCCCUUCUCUCUUUAAUUCUUCAUAAUAAUUUGGUUCGUGUUUGUGUUAUUUAGGGUUCGAUUUUUUCGAAUUUGUUGGGGUUUCAUUUUUACUAAACUGAUUGUGUUUAAUCAUGCUUCAUUUUUACUCCUGCUUGCUGCUUCUCUGUGCGACUUCAGAGUGUGCCUUCUCCUUCCUCUUAUCUGUGGCGGCACUCAGUUCAAUCUUCCUGAUCUUCAAUUCAAGCUUGUACUGUGUUCGAUUUUCAACUCCAUUAAUGGAUGAAAGUAUGUUAUACUGUGUUCGUUCCAUUAAUGGAUGAAGCUUGUAAUGUUUUACAGUGUUAGCCAUAAAUUAGUUUUUAUAUUGUAAUUUUGUAAUAUUGUAAUUUUUGGGUCAAAUGGGUCAAAUGGGUCAAAUGACCUGAAAUAUAUGGGUUCAAUGACCUGAAAAAAAAGCAGGUUAAAUGGGUCAUUAGCAGGUUGACCCGACCUGCAACAGAUCAGGUCGGGAAUUAUACAAUGUAUUAAAGCCGUUAAUUUAAAUGA